AUCACACACACACAUAUACACACACUUAAGCUUAGUUAUUGUAUUUCCACGAUAUAUAGGAGGCCAUUUCAUGUGAUAAGCAGCACUGCACAUGCAAAGGCCAAGAGUGAUUUCUUGCUUACAUUAAAGCCAUCGCACAACUCAGAAGUUGUCAGCUCUCACAUAAUGUGAAGCCACAAAGGCAGCCAGCUUGGCACUCCUGGAAAUUGGCAUGAGUGAGAGAGACAUAGCAAAAAAACUGAAGAUCUCCAAGACAGCCGUUCAUUACACCAAGAAAGAACAAGCCGAACAUGGUACUACCAAAUUGCUAGCUGGUCGUGGCAGGAAACGUCUUUCUACCGUCCAGAUGACUGUGCACUCGUCCGUUCCUGUGUCAGGAAUCUCCGUCAGACCUCUGGGGACCUUAAAAAUGAGUGGGCACUGUCAUGAAAUAUGACUAGUUCGGCAAGGACCACCGUUCCCUCUAAGCUGCGCGUGUGCACAAUUGCGCACUGCUGACCCGGUCUCCGCGCACAGAAAAUCUGCGCUGUGCACAAAAAAAAAAUCCAACCUAAAUUGUAAAUAAAAUGAACACGUAACAAUUCAUUCUGUGCUAUUUUUCAAUGUGAGUCAGUGAGUGACAGGUGACUGGCUGCUGCAGCCAAUGAUGCGAUUCACAUACGUAUUUACCAUAAACUGUAUAUAAUGGUAUUUACACAGCUAAUCAACGUCAGGCGUCCUUAUGUGCAGCCACCGUUAGAUAUGAAUGAGUAUGUAGGACACGCCCCUUUGAGCUGCGUGCUACAGCGAGGCUAAGCUAGUGGGGGCAAAGUUUCAGUGCAUUCCGUUGAUGUAGACGGCAUGAAAACGGAAACAAGUAUGCCGUCUCACUGUGCUGCAUACAGUUGCACACUGCCUCGUACGAUUGAGACAAGGAAACUUGGAAUGACUUUUCAUAGGUUUCCCAGAGACUAUGGGUUGAGGAGGAAUUGGAAGUUUGUCGGCUUAGACCUGGUGUCAUUCCAUCAGUGUUAAACUUCCCGGCUCAUCUUGGAAGAGUACGUGCCAGAAAGACCACGACCAAGCAGCCUUGAGAUCUUAGCCAGCGUCUCCCUGAGGUCCCUCUCUAUCUCCCCACACAUCCACCAACCACUGGAACAUAUCUCCAAAGUUCUGCCGGGCCAGCUCAGCUUCCCCGCAGAAGAAGUGCCGCCACCUGCCAGAUGAAGGAGCCUUUUGAGAGGCAGCUGGCAUCGUGAUUGGACUGUACUUUGGUCUGUUCCAAUCCAGCUUCAGCUCCAGAGACGGCAGGCGGGACGAAUCAACGGAGGCCGGGUGGACGAAGCGCCUUCCAGAGGGCAACAGAUCAAAAAGCUGAGAACCGGGAUGUGAACUGUCCUUGAUGAUGUUCUGAGCUCUGCUGAGGCACCAGGUGGAGUAGAUGUCCAUGAGGGAGGGGAGAGGACAGCCAACAAUUUACUGAUUUAUGGUAAUAAAUACAUUUAAAAAUGGUGCUACUUUGGCUCUGAACCUUUAUCUACCUGUGGUCGCUCUGUCUUCUGGAGUGAUUUGAUUGGUUAUACGUAACGAAGAAAACUCCUUUAACUUAACAUCUGUAAACAAAACAAAAACGUAUCAACAAAGUUUUCUGUUAGAGUUUGUGUUCUUCUAAGUUUAACUCAAGAUUUUAAAUACUUUCAUUUACUGCAAAUGAAUAUCUACUCCAAAUGUCUCACUAAUAAUCAUUAUCAGCCUUAAAAACCCACAAAACACCCCUCUAUACUCGACCACACUUAGUACAGUCUGGUUCCCCCUUCUAUAAAUCUGCUUGGAAUCUUCCACUUCCUGUUUGUCAAAGUGCCCUUCUACCUGGACAGGUUUUGUUGGAGCUCAUGCAACAAACAUUUUGGGUAACUGCACUUUAAUAUGGAUGGAUGACACUGAAUUAGAGUCUGUUUUAAUGAGACUGAGUUAAGAUGUGUAGCUCUGUCAUUAAAUAGGAAAUUAUUUCUCAGAAUUCACAGAGAAAAGUCUGAAAUGUUUGCUAGGUUAGCGUCCCACAUGUUCUUUGGCUCAGCGAAAGCUAACUCUCUCCAUCUUCUGGAUCUCUUGAGUUGCUUGUUGUUAAAAUAUCAUGCUAGAGGUGCUGAAGCUCAGAAAGUCUGAGAUGUUUGUUCAAAAUAAGCUCAUUCUCAAGUCUUCUCUGAACUGUCCUCUUUUGUUUUAACUUUCCCUAAACUUAAGAGUUAAUGACAGAGCAGCACAUCCAGACUCAGUCUCAUUUAUGUAGAGAUUAAACUUCAGUGUCAUUCAUUGAUGUUAAAGUGCAGUUUUUCAAAUGUUUGUUGCACAUGCUCCCGACCAAACCAGUCCAGGUGGAAGACGAUGUGAAGAGAAAGCUCCAGAGGAUGAAUAUCACACAUUUACGUUGGAAAUAAAUGUCCUUUAAUUAGACAUUGUCAUGCAAAAGUUGGAUUUCCCUUUGUUGAGUGUUUUGUUUGACAUUGGUUUCUAAAUGUUUUUUGACACUCGGCCCCAAAGAUUAAAACCUUCUAUGGCUCACAAUCUGCAACAAUUCACACAUUAUCAACUAUCUUUCUGACUAAACUAAGAUAAAAAGUGAAAAACUGCCUGAUUCCUGCAUCAGGAAUGUAAAUCUUUUUGGUUUUUAUGACAGUAAACUGAAUAUAUUUGGGCUUGACAUUUUAUAAACCAAAACAAGAAAUGAAUUACUGGAGAAAACGACAGAUUAAUGGACAAAGAAAAUGUGUUUUCUAACAU
ensembl:lncRNA